rnacentral:sRNA from 1 species
GCGGCCGCCAGCUCCGGCUCGGUGUCCAAAACAAAAUGGCCGCCACGUCCAGUGCUUGUGGGACCGGCUAAAAUGGCGUCUACGCCAUUACGUCAGGUGUCAGAUCCGCGCACGACUAGAGGGCGGGAAAGAUUUGAGCUACGCCUGCGCAGAGCUGAGAAGCUGAUGUCUCCUCGACUUCCAACUGGAACCUUGAACCCCCACAUUCCUGGACCUUGAGCAUUCCUCAAGUAGGAAGAUGUAAUGCACCUUGACCUCUUUCUAAAUAAGACACUUCCCCAAAUAAGGGGAGUUGAGAGUGAACAGUCUUCACGUCUCCACCCACUUCCAGAUUCCAGAGGAGACAGACAUCGGAUGGCUGAUAAUCUUCCAAUGGAAAUCCAUGGUUCAAGUGCCACCUCUUCAGGAAAGCCAUCUGGCUUCAAUCAGGCAGCAGUAGAUGGUGCAAGGGAAAGAGAUGGGAAGGAGGUCCUGGGAGGGACGCUGGAUGUCUUACCCCAAGCUGGGCCUUGCAGUACCUGUGGCUGGCUGUGCUGGUUGAGCUGGAAUCGACCACGGAAAUUUGACACCUCCGGGCUUGGAAGCAGCUCUCUCCUCCUUCCCCGCUGCUUAUAAACCUCAGCCCUGAGGCUCCAGC